rnacentral:rRNA from 1 species
AGAGUUUGAUCAUGGCUCAGAACGAACGUUGGCGGCGUGCUUAACACAUGCAAGUCGAACGAGAAAGGGAUCUUCGGAUCCUGAGUAAAGUGGCGCACGGGUGAGUAACACGUAGAUAACCUGUCCAGGUGUUCGGGAUAGCCCUUCGAAAGGGGGAUUAAUACCGGAUACGUUAGUCUGUCAUAAGGCGGAUUAAGAAAGGUGGCCUCUAUUUAUAAGCUAUCGCAUUUGGAGGGGUCUGCGUACCAUUAGUUUGUUGGUGGGGUAACGGCCUACCAAGACUUCGAUGGUUAGCGGGUCUGAGAGGAUGAUCCGUCACACUGGCACUGAAACACGGGCCAGACUCCUACGGGAGGCAGCAGUGAGGAAUAUUGCGCAAUGGGGGCAACCCUGACGCAGCGACGCCGCGUGGGUGAGGAAGGCUUUCGGGUCGUAAAGCCCUGUCAGGUGGGAAGAAAUGUGUAUUGGCUAAUAUCCUUUACAUUUGACGGUACCACCAAAGGAAGCACCGGCUAACUCCGUGCCAGCAGCCGCGGUAAUACGGAGGGUGCAAACGUUGUUCGGAAUCACUGGGCGUAAAGGGCGCGCAGGCGGUUUGAUUAGUCAGAUGUGAAAGCCCACGGCUUAA